UACAGAGGUCUCAAGCGUUGUUCGGAUUCAUUGGGCGUAAAGGGUGCGUAGGCGGCAGCGCAAGUCAGGUGUGAAAUCCCGGGGCUCAACCCCGGAACUGCACUUGAUACUGCGUUGCUUGAGUACUGGAGAGGAGACUGGAAUUUACGGUGUAGUAGUGAAAUGCGUAGAUAUCGUAAGGAAGACCAGUGGCGAAGGCGAGUCUCUGGACAGUUACUGACGCUGAGGCACGAAGGCCAGGGGAGCAAACGGG
rnacentral:rRNA from 1 species